AUCAGUGGUUACCAGGGGUGAUAAAGGAAGAGAAGAUGAAUUGGAAGCACAGAGGAUUUUUAGGGCAGGGAAGCUCUUCUACAUGGCUACACCUCACACGAUUGCCCAUACAUCACGCGAUUGCCCGAACCCAUAGAAUGACAACACCAAGGGUGAACCGAAAUGUAAACUAUAGACUUUGGGUGAUAAUGACAUGUCAAUGAUGUAAUAGGAUCCACUGUGAAGUCUUCCCUGAGGCUGUGCAUAUAAAAAUAAGAAUGAAACCAGGGGACAGAGAGCUCCUUUUAAUUGUGAGAUGUUAUAUGCAUUUGUCAGAGUCCAAUCAGAAAGCAGAAACCACGAAAGGUCUUUUAAGCAGAAGGAGUUUGAUUGAGGGAACUGACUGCCCAGAGGAUGGAGGGACUGAGAAGCAAACCAGAGCUGGUGAGAACAAGAUGCUCUCACUCUCCUCGGAUGGAGGCACAGCGAGAGAAGGUUGCUUUGCCAGAGCCAGAAGCUGGCGCACUCGGGAGGUGGGAGAGCCCCGGAAAGGGCUGCCCGUGGGGCUGAGACAGUAGAGGAAGGAGCACUCUCGGAGCAGGAAAGAGAGGCAGCAGCCACAGGAGAUGCUGUGGAAGCAGCGAUGGGAUAGAAAUACCCCAGAUGUUCCCCUUCUCCAUCUCUUCCAUUGUCUCGGAACCCUUCCUCUGGCCAACCCUUCCUGGGAGGCCGGGAAACCACACCCCAUCAAUGCAAGAUAAUUUUACUAUAGGAGACAACUGCAGCCUCCUGAUUAAGCAGAAGAGGAGGGCAAGACACAGAAUUCCAGAAUCCUAUACACUCUUUCUUCUCCACGUGGCUUGAACAAACAGGUGAGACCAAAGUUAACCAGGAUAUCUUACAUUUCUGGACCAAAUCUUGACUCCACAAAAAUGGUGGGGUGGAGGAGUAGCUAAGGAAAGAGAUGGGUAGCUUAUACAUUCUUCUCUGCCUUAAACCAAGCAUCAAAGGGCUAGCUCUCCAAGGGCAGGAUUUAUUUCCAUCUUAAAAUAGAGAGAAGCCUCAGGACUGGUGGAAGUGGUCUGCCCCCUGCAGAGGGGCCUCUGGUGAGGUUUGUAGAGCUCCAUCCCAGACACCAGGAAUGACGUUGUCCUCCUGGCUCCCUUGAUCCAUCAGAAACUGACAGCCUUCUUGUCCAGCAGUCAGCUGCCUCCUGCUUCAGGGUGUCUGUGGGAGGAAGCAAAGAGCGCCAGCCAGAAGCCACUAUUCCUACUUCUCCCUUCAUCAGUGCCCUGCCCUGGAUUCUAUCUCAAGAUGCAAAUGCAGCCCCAGAGAUGCACUCUCCGCCUCUUAGCGCCACUGCUCCGCCAGGCCCAGUAUUCAUAAAUGGCCUCUGAGUCCAGGACUGUCUGUCCCCACCUGCCUCAGGAGCCCUCCAGUUCUUCCUGAUGUAGCCGCGAGGACCAUGUUCGGCUCCUUGGGCCGAGUGCCCUCUCCUCCCUGGAGCUGGAAUGCCCUACAACUCCUAUUGGUCAGGUUAGCACUGACUCACAUCACAGCAGUAAAUAAAUGUCACUUCCUCAGGGCACUCCUCUUCUGACCACCUUCCUAAAGUGGUCUGCGUUUCAUAGCACCUUGCAUUUGUCCUACUUGUUACAUGCUGUUUUUACUAUUCAUGUAAUUACCUAGACCGGGGGUCAGCAAACAAUAACCAGUGGGCCAAUCCAAUCUACCACCACUUCCUAUAAAUAAGUUUUAUUGGGACACAGUCACGUCCAUUCAUUUGCAUAUGGUCUACGGUGGCCUUCACACAGCAAUGACUGAGUCAAGUAGUUGCAACAGAGACCUAAUGGCCAGAGAUCUUUCUAAAUGUACAUCUUCUAAAAUUAAAAUUACAAGCCUU